rnacentral:rRNA from 1 species
AACGAACGCUGGCGGCAUGCCUAACACAUGCAAGUCGAACGAGACCUUCGGGUCUAGUGGCGCACGGGUGCGUAACGCGUGGGAACCUGCCCUUAGGUUCGGAAUAACUCCCCGAAAGGGGUGCUAAUACCGGAUAAUGUCUUCGGACCAAAGAUUUAUCGCCCUUGGAUGGGCCCGCGUUGGAUUAGCUAGUCGGUAGGGUAAAAGCCUACCAAGGCGACGAUCCAUAGCUGGUCUGAGAGGAUGAUCAGCCACACUGGGACUGAGACACGGCCCAGACUCCUACGGGAGGCAGCAGUGGGGAAUAUUGGACAAUGGGCGAAAGCCUGAUCCAGCAAUGCCGCGUGAGUGAUGAAGGCCUUAGGGUUGUAAAGCUCUUUUACCCGGGAUGAUAAUGACAGUACCGGGAGAAUAAGCUCCGGCUAACUCCGUG